GCCUGGAGAGGGCCUCGAUGCAUGCUGGGACCUGUAGUCUUGACGCACGAGAGCAACUGGUGCAGGCGCGCUGCUCGGUGGGAAAUGUACUUGUGGCACUGAGGGGGAUCCUAUGUCCCCGCUGGGUCAUAUCAGUCGGGAUUCGAGCCCCGGUGACCAAUCGACCUGGUUUGUUCGGAACUGACAGGGUUGUCAAGACGCUGGGCUUUCCCUGUCAAACCGAGACGACCUGAUCAUGUAGUUAGAACCCAGAGAAAGCAUUACUGGGCGUGAGCCGGUUGGGGCUCCGGUAUUUGCCCUUCGCCCAGUUGCUGUAGAAAUGGACCUCUAUCCGCCCAGAUGUUACCAUUCAUCGCGAAGGGUGUCUUGAAGAUGAAUGCCCUGUCGAACAUCAUCCAGCAGGAGGUCAAGGAAUUUUAACUGAAUGAUUGAAUAGUCUUGCAAGAUCUAUGAAACAAGCUUCGGCUGCUGUAGAGAAACAAAAAUGGGUUCCUGCAAUUCUAAAUAAGAUGUACUGGGUGCUCUGAGAGUUAAUAAGCUAAAAAAUUCAAUGUUUGUUACAAUUAUAGUGUAAACAGAAAGCAUUUCUUGAUACAAUAUUAUUUUACUAGAUUCAGAAAAGUGUGAGCCAUGGUCCCUACCACUAAAAAAACUACAACCC
rnacentral:lncRNA from 1 species